rnacentral:rRNA from 1 species
AGUGAACGCUGGCGGUAGGCCUAACACAUGCAAGUCGAACGGCAGCACAGUAAGAGCUUGCUCUUACGGGUGGCGAGUGGCGGACGGGUGAGGAAUACAUCGGAAUCUACUUUUUCGUGGGGGAUAACGUAGGGAAACUUACGCUAAUACCGCAUACGUCCUACGGGUGAAAGCAGGGGAUCUUCGGACCUUGUGCGAUUGAAUGAGCCGAUGUCGGAUUAGCUAGUUGGCGGGGUAAAGGCCCACCAAGGCGACGAUCCGUAGCUGGUCUGAGAGGAUGAUCAGCAACACUGGAGCUGAGACACGGUCCAGACUCCGACGGGAGGCAGCAGUGGGGAAUAUGGGGCAAUGGGCGCAAGCCUGAUCCAGCCAUACCGCGUGGGUGAAGAAGGCCUUCGGGUUGUAAAGCCCUUUUGUUGGGAAAGAAAAGCAGCAGGUUAAUACCCCGCUGUUCUGACGGUACCCAAAGAAUAAGCACCGGCUAACUUCGU